rnacentral:rRNA from 1 species
GGCCUUCCGUAGGUGAACCUGCGGAAGGAUCAUUAUCGAAUUUC